rnacentral:rRNA from 1 species
AUGUUGGUACGACCAGGAGAGCCCAUGCCUAGUUACUCAUUUCUAACAUGGUAUCAGAUGCUUAGGUUCCUCUCCCGCUCCCGCACGCUCGCAACUCCGUUCCUCGCUCCACCGUCGCCGGCCUCGCUCCCCCGUCGCCGGCCUCCCUCUACCUCGUCGCCGGCGCCGGCCACCUCCUCCCUCGCCCCGGCCCUCUCCUUCCCCGCCGCCACACCGCGGCCGGCCAUCCUACGCUCGCUCUUCCCCACCCCGCUUCCCCAUCGGGGCUGGAUCGAGCCAGCGCGAGCCCGAUCCCGAUCUGGAUCGGGGUCUACUGUAGCAGUUGACCCAAAAAACAGAGAGCUCCUCAUGUCUUCUUCGGGCUAUGUCGCCGUUCCUCGGUGCUCGGUGAUCUUCGAUGGCACCAACUAUACCGAGUUUGCGGGGUUUAUGCGUAUCCAUAUGCGCGGUCUCCUCCUGUGGGGUGUUCUCUCUGGCGAGGUCCCCUGUCCGCCUUGCCCUGUUGCUUCUGUGGCUCCUACCCCGCCAGCACCACCGGUUCUUGCUGCUGACGCUUCUCAGGCCGAUCGAGAUACCGCCAAGGCUCUCGAUGAUGCUGCAGUUGAUGCCUAUGAUCAGCAGAUGUCAGCUUACUCGGAUGCCCUUUCUGCCUAUCGUGAUGAUCUGUCUGCUUACACUCAGUGGUGCAAUGAUGAUGCUCGUGCUGCUGCUGUUCUUACUGCGAGUGUCCUCCCUCAGUUCGCCUCGGAGUUCAUGGGACUUGGCACAGUUGCAGUGAUGUGGUCUUAUCUCUGUCAGCGCUAUCAGCCCUCUGGUGAUGCUCUCUACCUAUCUGUGGUGCGUCAGAAGCAUGCACUCCAGCAAGGUGAUUCCUUUGUUGAUGAGUUCUAUUCACAGUGCUCUGCCAUCUGGCGUCAGCUUGACUCUCUUCGGACCGUUGUUUGUGGAACUUGCCGUUGCUGUCAGACUACAUGGUCCGAUUUGGAGUUUCAACGGGUUCAUGAGUUCUUAUCUCAUCUCCGCUCUGAGUUCGAGCCUCGCCGUGCUCACCUUCUUGCUUGUGGUCGUGUUCCUAUCUCUGAGCCGGCGGACCGGCCGAAGUUUCGGCCGGUCACGCGCGGAUCGUUGGAUGUUUUUAGCGAUCUAAGCGUCUGUUUAGCCACACACGGGGAACAAAUGCGAGGCUGUUGGGGCCCGUGCACCGCCCGCGACACGCGUGGCUUCUUUUUCUUAUCCCUUCGUUGCUCAUCUCCUUCCUUAUUCAGUCGCGUCUUCCUCCCCAUCCACUCGCAUCCCGGGCGCGCUCGUCGCCAUAGCUGCCGGCAACUCGAUGCUCCUCGUUUUGAAUCAUGCGCGGAUCACCGGCGCCGGAUUCACCCCUCUCCAUGGCCGCCGACAGCCAGGGGUGCGCUCGUCGCCUUGUUCGCCGGCAACUGGACGAACGCCCUCUCCAUGGUAACCAUAGCCAGGGCUUCGUUAGUUCACCAUGACCAAGCUGCAAUCGGCCAUGGCAGCGACGAGUCUGUGCUGGAGCCGGAGGCGGUGUCCCGAUUUGCUGGAACCAGCUGGUGGAUGUGCUGCAAGGUUGACACCUCGCCGGAGGAAGCUGCAUCCAGUGGGGAGGAGGGCUGCAUCCAACGUCGUUCAAACACCGGGAGUUGCAACCAUGUACGCCGGAGCUACAACCGGUACGAUGCAUGUCGAUGGAGGCCAACAGAGACGGCGACGCCUGCGGCGAGCUCGACGGCGAGGACGGAGGGGGUGGUGCACCAGAUGCUGCAACCACGGGGGCGGGGAGCUUCAACCGCUGCCGACGGAGGCUCCGUGUCAGCCAUGGCCAAGUUUGGCGAGGGAUCUGACCACGACGGAAGCUGCGAACGAGUGAGAUGGUUGGGAGGAGCAGUGACGCGCGUGCGAAGGAGGCAACCUACGGCGAGGGCAGCAACCGGUGGCGAGGGCGGUGACCGGCGUUGGGGGCGGCCAAGCCGGGUGGUGCUUCGAGUCGGGGGCCUCGCUCAUCCAUGGCGGCUAGAUGCGUACGCGGAGGAAGGAAGAAGAAGCUGGGGCGAUUUGUUUGUUUUUUUUUGUCCGGAUCCAACGAUCACACGGCUUAAAUCCAACGGCCUGGGCUAG